GAGUUUGAUCGUGGCUCAGAGCGAACGCUGGCGGCAGGCUUAAUACAUGCAAGUCGAACGAUGUAGCAAUACAUAGUGGCGCACGGGUGAGUAACACGUGGGAACAUGCCCUUUAGUACGGGAUAACAGCGGGAAACUGCUGCUAAUACCGCAUACGCCCUCCGGGGAAGAUUUAUCGCUAAAGGAUUGGCCCGCGUCGGAUUAGCUAGUUGGUAGGGUAAAGGCCUACCAAGGCUACGAUCCGUAGCUGGUUUGAGAGAACGACCAGCCACACUGGGACUGAGACACGGCCCAGACUCCUACGGGAGGCAGCAGUAGGGAAUCUUGGACAAUGGGCGAAAGCCUGAUCCAGCCAUGCCGCGUGAGUGAUGAAGGCCUUCGGUUUGUAAGCUCUUUACCUAGGGAAGAUAAUGACGGUACCUGGAGAAUAAGCACCGGCUAACUUCGUGCCAGCCGCCGCA
rnacentral:rRNA from 1 species